rnacentral:lncRNA from 1 species
GCUUUUGGAACUGCUGGAUUGAGUCUCACUUGAAGCCAGAAGUGAAUCUAGAUUUUUAAUCGACGUGCCUAAGAAAAAUUCCUUUAUCUUAUGAAUCAGUUUAAGACCAGAGAAUGGAGGCUCUGAAACGGUAAAUCUCUUACUGAAGGGCACACAGCCUGUGAGAGUGGAGCCAGGAUCCGUCCCAGGAAGAGGUCACAGGAGCACAGAGCGAGAAAGCGGCUGACUGCAACCAAGGGGAGAGCUCUGACCAGACAGACGGCACCUUGAUCUUGGACCUCCAAUCUCCAGAACCGUGAGGAAAUGAAUUUCUGUUGUUUAAACCUGCCAGUCUAUGGGAUUUGUUAUGGCUGUCCCAGGGGACUAAUGUAUC